CGGGAAGUGGCGCAGCUUGGCAGCGCGCAGCGUUCGGGACGCUGAGGCCGCGGGUUCAAAUCCCGCCUUCCCGA
rnacentral:tRNA from 1 species